CCUACGGGUGGCUGCAGUGAGGAAUAUUGGUCAAUGGACGAGAGUCUGAACCAGCCAAGUAGCGUGAAGGAUGACUGCCCUAUGGGUUGUAAACUUCUUUUAUAUGGGAAUAAAAUGUGCAACGUGUGGGAUUUUGUAUGUACCAUAUGAAUAAGGAGCGGCUAACUCCGUGCCAGCAGCCGCGGUAAUACGGAGGAUCCGAGCGUUAUCCGGAUUUCUUGGGUUUAAAGCGAGCGUAGGUGGAUUGUUAAGUCAGCGGUAAAAUCGCGGGGCUCAACCUCGCUCCGCCGUUGAAACUGGCGUUCUUGAGUGGGCGAGAAGUAUGCGGAAUGCGUGGUGUAGCGGUGAAAUGCAUAGAUAUCACGCAGAACUCCGAUUGCGAAGGCAGCAUACCGGCGCCCAACUGACGCUGAAGCACGAAAGCGUGGGUAUCGAACAGGAUUAGAUACCCUUGUAGUC
rnacentral:rRNA from 1 species